UACUGAUGACUUGGUGACAGACUCAUUAGAUGAAAAACCUCUUCACUAGAUCCAAUGGACUGCAACAACAACGUUAAGCUAUCUGCCAACCUCCAAGUUGCAUAAAUCAUCCACUCACAGUACAAGAUAUACUUAAUUCUUCAGGGAAAAGCAGAAGUAUCGAUUUUGCCUUCCCUUGAUUUGAUUUGGCUGAUUUUUGGAUGACAGCUUCAGCCUACUACUAGAGGACUUCGAUCCAAUUUUUGGCUUUUUCUGGCCAGUUUUGGUGGUUUGGUUGAUCCUUCCACAAUUUUUGAGUUGAUUUCUAAGACACAAAGUCUGAGGGUUCAAUUGUAAGCUCUCCAACUAUACGAGAUGGCCAUAUAGAAUAUGUUACUUUUGCUACAGUCUAUGUGAAGCUUGACAGCACAAAUUAGUUGAUAUGGUCUCAAUCAGUAUUCUUGAGCAUUGGAUGCUGUGGGCUUGGGGAACAUAUGAACGGCACUUUUGUGAAGCCAGAUGCAUCAAGUACUACUCAGGACAAGUGGAUCUUGAAUGACUCUUUGGUAAAGUCUUUUUUGCUUAACUCGAUGUAACCACACAUUGCAAAAGGAUAUUUGCUUCUUGAUACUGCAGCACAGAUUUGGUUGGCUGCAAGGGAUACUUAUGGUCAACUCAGGAAUGAUAUAUAAGGGUAUAAACUUUCAAAAAUGGCUCAUAACACCACUCAGAAGGAGAUGAAUAUAUUUCAAUAUUAUGCUAAGCUUCGGCGUUUGUGGCAAGGGCUAGAUCAUUAUGCUGAUCAUCAACCAACCAAUGUUGUGAAUAUUGCUACCUACAAGAACCAUGUGGACAAGAUCAAAGUUUAUGAUUUCUCAGCAGGAUUGAAUGAUGAAUAUGAUCAGAUACGUGUUCAAGUCCUUAGCCAAUCUAAAUUCCCUAUUCUGGAAUAGUCCUAUGCCCUAGUUCACUCGGAAGAAAACCAUAGGACAGCAAUGCUCCAUCCCUCUACUAUCGAUCGAUCUGCUCUACAAACCAUUGCUGGCACUAUUACCAAAUCUGUUCCGUCCUCUCGAUUUGAUGAUACCUCUAAGAACUCUGUGAAGUGUGAACAUUGUUGUAGGCUGUAUCAUGCUAAGGCUAUUUGCUGGAAGUUACAAGGAAAACAUGCAGAUUUUGAAGCAAAAAGGGCACAAAGAAACAAAAAACAGGGAUCUGUUAAUGGAGAAGGAGAUUGGAUAUGGUAGAUUGGAUGGUGGUCUUUAUCUGCUGGAAGGUAGUGGGGUUUCUACUUUCACGCCUCACCGAGUUAAUUCAGCAUUAACAGAUCUCCAUUAGUGGCACUGCAGAUUAGAUCAUCCCCUUUAGGAACUUUGGAAAAAGUUUCUCCUAGUCUUGUUUCAAUCAGUAAUAAACAUAAGUUUUUUUGUGAAGCCUGUGUUUUGGCUAAAUAAACUCAUUCAAUAUAUCCAUCUUUAAAUAAUAAAAAUCGUUAUUCUUUUCA